CCAGACUCCUACGGGAGGCAGCAGUGGGGGAUAUUGCACAAUGGGGGAAACCCUGAUGCAGCGACACCGCGUGGGUGAGGAAGCGCUUCGGCGUGUAAAGCCCUAUCAGUGGGGAAGAAAAAUGACGGUACCCAAGGAAUAAGCCCCGGCUAACUACGUGCCAGCAGCCGCGGUAAUACGUAGGGGGCAAGCGUUGUUCGGAAUGACUGGGCGUAAAGGGUGUGUAGGCGGUGUAGCAAGUUAGAAGUGAAAUACCUAGAGCUUAACUCAGGUGCUGCUUCUAAAACUGCUAUACUUGAGUGCAGUAGAGGAAAGUGGAAUUCCUAGUGUAGCGGUGGAAUGCGUAGAUAUUAGGAGGAACAUCAGUGGCGAAGGCGACUUUCUGGACUGUAACUGACGCUGAGGCACGAAAGUGUGGGGAGCAAACAGGAUUAGAUACCCUGGUACA
rnacentral:rRNA from 1 species